UACGUAGGGGGCAAGCGUUGUCCGGAAUCAUUGGGUGUAAAGCGCGCGUAGGCGGCUCGAUCAGUCUGCUGUAAAAGUCAAAGGCUCAACCUUUGAAUGCCGGUGGAUACUGUCGGGCUAGAGUCCGGAAGAGGCGAGUGGAAUUCCUGGUGUAGCGGUGGAAUGCGCAGAUAUCAGGAGGAACACCAACGGCGAAGGCAGCUCGCUGGGACGGUACUGACGCUAAGGCGCGAAAGCGUGGGGAGCGAACAGG
rnacentral:rRNA from 1 species